GAUAAAAACAAUCCAUCCUAAAACAUCUGUGCUUGGAGCUCCUAGAACCAUUUUUUAAAGCAUAUACUCUCAUUUACAUUAGCUUACAUUCAGAUGAAAUGGGACUGCUAGACUGGAGGCUGUGUAUAUGUUUAUAUUUAAAUAGAGGGUUUAUAUUUAAACAUAGAAGGACACACCUCUGUAAUAUUGGUUAAUGCUGAAACUAAAAUCCCAGUCACCCAAGGGAAGCCGAGAAUAUUCCCACGCUA
rnacentral:lncRNA from 1 species